AUUGAACGCUGGCGGCAGGCCUAACACAUGCAAGUCGGACGGUAGCACAGAGGAGCUUGCUCCUCGGGUGACGAGUAGCGGACGGGUGAGUAAUGUCUGGGGAUCUGCCCGAUAGAGGGGGAUAACCACUGGAAACGGUGGCUAAUACCGCAUAACGUCGCAAGACCAAAGAGGGGGACCUUCGGGCCUCUCACUAUCGGAUGAACCCAGAUGGGAUUAGCUAGUAGGCGGGGUAACGGCCCACCUAGGCGACGAUCCCUAGCUGGUCUGAGAGGAUGACCAGCCACACUGGAACUGAGACACGGUCCAGACUCCUACGGGAGGCAGCAGUGGGGAAUAUUGCACAAUGGGCGCAAGCCUGAUGCAGCCAUGCCGCGUGUAUGAAGAAGGCCUUCGGGUUGUAAAGUACUUUCAGCGGGGAGGAAGGCGAUGUGGUUAAUAACCGCAUUGAUUGACGUUACCCGCAGAAGAAGCACCGGCUAACUCCGUGCCAGCCGCCGCGGUAAGAC
rnacentral:rRNA from 1 species